rnacentral:rRNA from 1 species
CUGACGGCGUGGAUGAGACAUGCAAGUCGAACGAAAUGUGGAGCAAUCCAUGUUUAGUGGCGAAAGGGUUAGUAAUGUAUGGAUAACUUGCCUUUUACCUUCGGAGUAACGGUUGGAAACGACCGCUAAUACCGUAUGAGGUGGAGUGUGGCAUCACACUUUAACCAAAGUAGGGGACCUAGAGAUAGGCCUUGCGGUAAAAGAGAGGUCCAUAUGGUAUCAGCUAGUUGGUGAGGUAAGAGCUCACCAAGGCUAAGACGCCUAGGCGGAUUGAGAGGUCGACCGCCAACACUGGGACCGAGACACUGCCCAGACUCCUACGGGAGGCAGCAGUCGAGAAUAAUUCGCAAUGGACGAAAGUCUGACGAUGCGACGCCGUGUGAAUGAUGAAGGCCUUCGGGUCGUAAAGUUCUGUCGCCUGAGAACAAGAGCAUUAGUGAAUAACUGAGUGCUUUGAGGGUAUCAGGAAAGGAAGCACCGGCUAACUCCGUGCCAGCAGCUGCGGUAAUACGGAGGGUGCAAGCGUUAGUCGGAAUUACUGGGCGUAAAGGGUGCGUAGGCGGUUUUGUAAGUCAGAUGUGAAAAGCCAAAGCUCAACUUUGGCAGUGCAUCUGAAACUGCAAAUCUAGAGGGAUAGCGGAGAAAACGGAAUUCCACGUGUAGCGGUGAAAUGCGUAGAUAUGUGGAAGAACACCUGUGGCGAAAGCGGUUUUCUAGCUUUAACCUGACGCUGAGGCACGAAAGCAAGGGGAGCAAACAGGAUUAGAUACCCUGGUAGUCCUUGCCCUAAACGAUGUAUACUUGGUGUUGUUGGGCUCAACCCCGACAGUACCGUAGCUAACGCGAUAAGUAUACCGCCUGGGGAGUACGCUCGCAAGGGUAAAACUCAAAAGAAUUGACGGGGACCCGCACAAGCAGUGGAGCAUGUGGUUUAAUUCGAUCCACGCGAAGAACCUUACCUGGGCUUGACAUGCACUUGACCGCUACAGAGAUGUAGCUUUCUCGCAAGAGACAGGUGCACAGGUGCUGCAUGGCUGUCGUCAGCUCGUGCCGUGAGGUGUUGGGUUAAGUCCCGCAACGAGCGCAACCCUUGUCGUUAGUUGCCAACACGUGAUGGUGGGCACUCUAGCGAGACUGCCUAGGUUAACUAGGAGGAAGGUGAGGAUGACGUCAAGUCCGCAUGGCCUUUAUGCCCAGGGCUACACACGUGCUACAAUGGUCGGUACAGAAGGUUGCAAUACCGUGAGGUGGAGCAAAUCCCAAAAGCCGGCCCCAGUUCGGAUUGAAGUCUGCAACUCGACUUCAUGAAGAUGGAAUUGCUAGUAAUGGCGAGUCAGCAACAUUGCCGUGAAUACGUUCCCGGGUCUUGUACACACCGCCCGUCAAGUCAUGGGAGUUGGUUUCACCCGAAGUCGCUCACCCAACCGUAAGGAGGGAGGCGCCUAAGGUGAGGCUGAUAACUAGGACUAAGUCGU